CCUACGGGUGGCUGCAGUGGGGAAUAUUGGACAAUGGGGGCAACCCUGAUCCAGCCAUGCCGCGUGUGUGAAGAAGGCCCUCGGGUUGUAAAGCACUUUCAGUGAGGAAGAACGCCUGGUGGUUAAUACCCAUCAGGAAAGACAUCACUCACAGAAGAAGCACCGGCUAACUCCGUGCCAGCAGCCGCGGUAAUACGGAGGGUGCGAGCGUUAAUUGGAAUUACUGGGCGUAAAGCGCGCGUAGGUGGCUUGAUAAGCCGGUUGUGAAAGCCCCGGGCUCAACCUGGGAACGGCAUCCGGAACUGUCAAGCUAGAGUGCAGGAGAGGAAGGUAGAAUUCCCGGUGUAGCGGUGAAAUGCGUAGAGAUCGGGAGGAAUACCAGUGGCGAAGGCGGCCUUCUGGACUGACACUGACACUGAGGUGCGAAAGCGUGGGUAGCAAACAGGAUUAGAUACCCCAGUAGUC
rnacentral:rRNA from 1 species